UCCCUCACGCCCUCUCUCUCGUGCUGCAGCUCGCUCCCCCCCCCCCUCUGCUCACCAUCUCCUCCCUGGUUCCCAUGGCGCCCUCCCCUUCUUGGUGGCCGACGCCCCUCCCUCCAUGGAGCUCGCCUCUGCCAUGGCCACCCUCUGCCCCUCCCUUGCUGUUCUUAUGGCAGCCCCUCUCCAUGCCAAGCUCUCCCUCCUUCUGUGCCCAGCCCUAGCUCGCCCCAACCCCUCUCCCUGGCUGCCCUUGCUCUGGUUUUCUCCCAGCCCUAGCCGAGCUCGCCCCUGUCCUAAGUUCUCAAGGCAACCCCUCUGUGUUUUCCAUGGUCGGCACCCUCCCCAUCUUUUGUAGAUUGGAAGAAAGGAUUCCUAUGAGUGUGAGAAGAAGCAAAUCCCAGCAUAACGCAUGCUAGGUGUUCGACGAAAUGUUCGAAUUGGGAUUGUCGUUGAUAUUGUGGAUCUGAGUCACGCUUUGUAUUGGUGAGCCAAUUCCUUGCUCUUAUUCUUUGGUUCUAUGCCUGAAGUGAUUAGAUGUAUUAAAUACGAUGAAUCUCUUGUUUGUAGCACAGGUGUGUCGUGGUGAAUAUCUCUAGAUCCGCGACUAUGUCUGUGUGUUUUGUUCUAUGGUGACGUCAGGAAAGUAUCUUUCCUCUCUUUCCCUUGUCUUUGUGAUGCUUUGUUGUAUGCCAUAUGUUUGGUGAAUGAAUAUGUAUAGAAGGAUUAAAUUGUUUAGGCAUAUGCAUAGCAUGAAUAAAAUGAGUUCUUCUUGUGUGAUGAUAUACUGUAUGGAAUGUGCCGAUAUAUGUGUAUGCAAAGUAUGAUUAAUUAGUUCUUUGUUUGCAUGAAGUGAGAGUAGAUUUAAAAAUACUAGGUUAUAUGAAGUGAAUGGAUUCAUGGUUAUAAUGUAUAAGUAAUCUAUAUAUGUGAUUAGAAAGUGUCAAGCAUGAAAGUUGUAGAGGUAAAUAUGAACCCAAUUGGAAUGUUUGUUGUUUGGACUCUGUGUACAGUUUUGAUUGUGCAACUAAUCUAGUGAAGCAAAUCAUAUUUCCUGUGAAAAUGUUAUAUAUAAAAGUUGUAGAUAACCUCCUUAUCUUGCUCAUGCUAAAAUUUCAUUACCAUAGGCCCAAUAAUCUGAAAGUUUUGCUUCUCCCAAGUUCAGUAUCAGAAUCUGUCCAGAUUCUGUACAGAUUUCGAAAAUGGCCUUGUUUGCCCAAGUUAAACUUAGAAUCAGUUCUUAUAAAUUAUAAAGAAGUUGUAGUACUUUUCUUAAGCUUUCCAACAAGUUUUGGAUCACCCUUUUUGGUGGUCUAGAAGUCAAGUUAUGGUUGAUUGAAAUGUGAUGACUGAAUCUGUCCAAAUCUGGACAGCAAUGUUUGUUUGUAUUGACUGACUUUGAUAUAUAUUGAAUCAACCUAAGAUGUUUAUAAAUGAGUUGUAGACAAUUUUAUAAGCUUUCUAGAAAUUCUUGGAUCACCUGUUUUGGAUGCCUAAAUCUCCAGUUAUGAAGUUUUGAAGUGAGUAGUCGAAUUCCGUCCAAAUCUGGACAGCAUUAUCAUUUAAUACUGAUUGACUUUUUUAAGUGUCUAAUCUCAUGGUGAUGAUAAUACCAAAGUUGUAUAGGAUUUCUUAGGCUUAACGUCUGUUUGGUAUAUAUUGUGUGUUUUUGUGAGAAAUAUAUUGCAAAAUCUCUCUCUCUAUAUAUAUAUAUAUCUACACCUGACUCUGCAAUAUAUAGGACAUCGCUCGAAUUGUUUAUAUGCAGGAAUAGGUUGUACAAAUAAUUUGAAAUUGACAUUAACCACUAGGUGGCCACCCAUCAUUGUUUUUUACCAUAAGGAGUCUCAUUUUCCAGUUCUUACUGAAUAUACAAAUUUAUCUGAAUUUCGAUUGUUUUUCUGCUUGUGAACCUUUCAUUGGAACGAGACACCGAGGAGGAGGCUGAGUUCAGAGCGAAGAUGAAAGAGCAGGCAAACGCCCCUGAUGAUUCGCCGCCUCAGCUUCUCUUUGCUCAUCAGGGUCAGAGAGACUUGAAAGAAGUGCACUGGCACCCACAGAUACCGUCGAUGAUCAUAUCGACGGCAAUCGACGGCUUCAACGUGUUGAUGCCUAGCAACAUCGAUACAACCAUUCCUGGCAGCACAGAUACAGCAAUGCCGCCUGCUGAGCCAUAGGUUAGGUGUUUCUGGUAGCUCAUGAUUCCAGGUUCUUGCGGUGGUGAGUGUAGUUGCCAUUUGUCAUGUGUCGACAGUGCUAUGCUGUCGUGUUGGAGCAUGAUGGGAAAAUUUUGAUUGGCUGGCGUUCUAUGAUAAUAUGGUUAGGAUUUAAUAUGUGCAUGCUAUUUUAGUUUUACCAGCAUCUAAUUAGAUCUUGCAUGAGAUAAAUCUUCGCUUGACUUGAGUUCAUAGACUGACUAUUUCAAGCUUUCAACCAGUCUUUUUAAUGUAAUAUUUGCAGCAACUGCAAUACUGCAUCUUGUAUAUAGUAGUAUGUGCUUCAUUCGAUCAAUAAUACAAUCUCUUUUGCAAGUUUUCCAAGAUAAUUUUGCCUUAGUUGUCUCAAGACAUGGUUAUAGGUUUUCCCUGUGCUUUUUUGUUUUAUUCAUAUUUUUUUCUUGUUAAUAACACGUGUCCUGACAGAUUGACCUUCCAAUCUGAAAUUAGUUUUGUUUGAUUGCAUCCUUGCUGAGCUUGAUCUGAUCCACAUUUUUUUCCAGGUCCCUAUAAAAUGGCCAAAAAGUCGUGAUGUAGUAUGGAAAGCAAACAUUCCACACACUCACCUUGCAAAAGAGAAGUCAGACCAGAACUGGAUGGUUGAAGCUGGUGAAAAAAUCAAGUUUCCAGGUGGUGGGACCCAUUUUCACCAUGGAGCUGACAAAUACAUAUCAAAUAUUGCAAAUAUGCUAAAUUUCAAAGAUAACAAUAUAAACAAUGAGGGGAUGCUUCAUACAGUUCUUGAUGUUGGUUGUGGAGUUGCUAGUUUCGGAGGAUACCUUCUUUCUUCUAAUGUGAUAGCAAUGUCUUUGGCACCAAACGACGUGCAUCAGAAUCAGAUUCAGUUUGCACUCGAAAGAGGAAUCCCUGCAUAUCUUGGUGUUUUGGGAACAAAAAGGCUUCCAUACCCGAGUAGAUCAUUUGAACUAGCCCAUUGUUCACGUUGUAGGAUCGACUGGCUUCAAAGAGAUGGGAUUCUUCUGCUCGAACUAGACAGAUGGAGUUUGGGAGCCUGCUAAAUGAUUUUGUAAAGUGUUUGCAAAUAUGUGCAAAACAUAAUAACAUGUGUAGGUUUUGUGAAUGAUUUUGUUGUGGUGAUUGUUGAUGAUUUAUGUGAUGUGGAUCUAUUAUUGUGCAA